AUUUGAACCCAGGUCCUCUGACUGCAAAGCUUUCCACUAUGUGUCACACUGCUGCCUGUUCACUUACCCAUCUGUGUGCAUCCCAAUUUUUUUUUUUUCUCCAGGAUAUGCAAGGCAUUGCAGAGGCAUCCGAAACAAUAGUGCAGUGCAUCCUCAGGCUGCUGGUAUGAGGGGGAGCCAGGCAGUACAGGGAAAAGAGAGGGUGCUGACUCUGGUGGUCCUGGGGAGCCAGUCCAGAGCCUUGGUCUACUCCUGGACCGAACCGCCACCCCCACCCCUCUCUUUCCCAGAUUUUUUGCAGCGUUCCCAGGACGCCUCCAGGUGGCGCGCUGCUGUCCCGUCCUUCCAGCCCGGGUCUCAGUCACUAUUUGAGUGAUGGGGAGGGCGAGCUUCUCUAGAGAUGGAACCUGGAGCGGUCAAAGCAUCCUGGGCAGCGGGGUGGAGGCGGGGAGCAGUGCAGGGGUUGGGACGCCUCCCAGGACACCUGGUGCUUCCAGGGAUGGAGGAGCUGGAUCGGGCAGCGCUGGGAUCAGGGAUUCCUUGGGAGCAUUCAAAGCAGCGUGGAUCUGGUCCAGUCCCUCGAUCUCAUAGGAGCGGAAAGGAGGAAGGACCUCGUGGAUGGAGCGGAGCCGGGAUCAGAACAAAAAUAUUAUCUGCUAGACUUUCACUGUGAAGAAGAUGAGAAUGAAUGGGACCUCUUCCUGGGACAGAUGACAGAUUGUCAAUGAUGUUCUUUGGAUUAUUGGCCAAGUUUUGGCAGCCCAGGGAUCUACUGGAGGUAAGUGAGGUUAUAGUGACUUAGAGCUUGUAGAUGUACACAAUU
rnacentral:lncRNA from 1 species